rnacentral:rRNA from 1 species
GACGAACGCUGGCGGCGUGCUUAACACAUGCAAGUCGAACGGAAAGGCCCUGCUUUUGUGGGGUGCUCGAGUGGCGAACGGGUGAGUAACACGUGAGUAACCUGCCCUUGACUUUGGGAUAACUUCAGGAAACUGGGGCUAAUACCGGAUAGGAGCUCCUGCUGCAUGGUGGGGGUUAGAAAGUUUCGGCGGUUGGGGAUGGACUCGCGGCUUAUCAGCUUGUUGGUGGGGUAGUGGCUUACCAAGGCUUUGACGGGUAGCCGGCCUGAGAGGGUGACCGGCCACAUUGGGACUGAGAUACGGCCCAGACUCCUGCGGGAGGCAGCAGUGGGGAAUAUUGCACAAUGGGCGGAAGCCUGAUGCAGCAACGCCGCGUGCGGGAUGACGGCCUUCGGGUUGUAAACCGCUUUCGCCUGUGACGAAGCGUGAGUGACGGUAAUGGGUAAAGAAGCACCGGCUAACUACGUG